AUAGAUUUAAAUAUUUCUCAUUGCUGGAUAUGUAGCCAUGUCCCUCUCCAUUCCACUGGAGGGAUACCUAUAAUACCAGUACCUUUGAAUGCAAGAUAGCUUGUCAACCUCUAUGCAAAGAAAAGAAGUGUAUAACAUGUAUGUUGAAAUAGCUAAUGUUAAAGAAGAAGAGGAGUUAGAAGGCAAAAGAUUAAUGGCUAUAAAUAUCUAGUAUGUUGAGCCUAAGAGGCCCAAAAGUGGGGAAUGUUGAAAUAAAUUUAUCCAGGCCUCCAACUUGACUAAAGAAAAGAGAGUGAAGAAAAGAAAUUGAAAAAGAUGCUGAUGCUGUAUGUUUAAGAAUAUUCUAAGAUAAGAAAAACCCUUCUGCUUUAUUAUGUCUUUUAAAUAUAUUAGGCUCUGC